CAGUCGAACGAGAAACCCCGGCUUGCCGGGGGAGUAAAGUGGCGCACGGGUGAGUAACGCGUGGGUAAUCUACCCUCGAAUUGGGGAUAACACAUCGAAAGGUGUGCUAAUACCGGAUAAGACCACGGUGGCUUCGGCCAUUGGGGUCAAAGAUGGCCUCUGUUUACAAGCUGUCGUUUGAGGAUGAGCCCGCGUCCCAUUAGCUUGUUGGUGGGGUAAGAGCCCACCAAGGCAACGAUGGGUAGCUGGUCUGAGAGGAUGGCCAGCCACACUGGAACUGGAACACGGUCCAGACUCCUACGGGAGGCAGCAGUGAGGAAUUUUGCGCAAUGGGGGCAACCCUGACGCAGCAACGCCGCGUGAGUGAAGAAGGCCUUCGGGUUGUAAAGCUCUGUCAAGCGGGAAGAAACUUUUUCGAAUGAACAAUUCGAGAAAUUGACGGUACCGCUGAAGGAAGCACCGGCUAACUCCGUGCCAGCAGCCGCGGUAAUACGGAGGGUGCAAGCGUUAUUCGGAUUUAUUGGGCGUAAAGGGCGUGUAGGCGGUUUGACAAGUCAGGUGUGAAAGCCCUUGGCUUAACCAAGGAAGUGCACUUGAAACUGUCAGACUUGAGUACGGGAGGGGGAAGUGGAAUUCCAGGUGUAGAGGUGAAAUUCGUAGAUAUCUGGAGGAAUACCGGUGGCGAAGGCGACUUCCUGGACCGAUACUGACGCUGAGACGCGAAAGCGUGGGGAGCAAA
rnacentral:rRNA from 1 species